rnacentral:rRNA from 1 species
AGAGUUUGAUCCUGGCUCAGAUUGAACGCUGGCGGAACGCUUUACACAUGCAAGUCGAACGGUAACGUGGGGAGGAGCUUGCUCCACCCCGACGACGAGUGGCGAACGGGUGAGUAAUACAUCGGAACGUGUCCGCUCGUGGGGGACAACCAGCCGAAAGGUUGGCUAAUACCGCAUGAGUUCUACGGAAGAAAGAGGGGGACCCGCAAGGGCCUCUCGCGAGCGGAGCGGCCGAUGACUGAUUAGCCGGUUGGUGAGGUAACGGCUCACCAAAGCAACGAUCAGUAGCUGGUCUGAGAGGACGACCAGCCACACUGGGACUGAGACACGGCCCAGACUCCUACGGGAGGCAGCAGUGGGGAAUUUUGGACAAUGGGCGCAAGCCUGAUCCAGCUAUUCCGCGUGUGGGAUGAAGGCCCUCGGGUUGUAAACCACUUUUGUAGAGAACGAAAAGACACCAUCGAAUAAAUGGUGUUGCUGACGGUACUCUAAGAAUAAGCACCGGCUAACUACGUGCCAGCAGCCGCGGUAAUACGUAGGGUGCGAGCGUUAAUCGGAAUUACUGGGCGUAAAGGGUGCGCAGGCGGUUGAGUAAGACAGAUGUGAAAUCCCCGAGCUUAACUCGGGAAUGGCAUAUGUGACUGCUCGACUAGAGUGUGUCAGAGGGAGGUGGAAUUCCACGUGUAGCAGUGAAAUGCGUAGAUAUGUGGAAGAACACCGAUGGCGAAGGCAGCCUCCUGGGACAUAACUGACGCUCAGGCACGAAAGCGUGGGGAGCAAACAGGAUUAGAUACCCUGGUAGUCCACGCCCUAAACGAUGAAUGCUAGUUGUUGUGAGGCUUGUCCUUGCAGUAAUGCAGCUAACGCAUUAAGCAUUCCGCCUGGGGAGUACGGUCGCAAGAUUAAAACUCAAAGGAAUAGACGGGGACCCGCACAAGCGGUGGAGCAUGUGGUUUAAUUCGAAGAUACGCGAAGAACCUUACCUAGGCUUGACAUUGAUAGAAUCUGCUAGAGAUAGCGGAGUGCUGGCUUGCCAGAGCUUGAAAACAGGUGCUGCACGGCUGUCGUCAGCUCGUGUCGUGAGAUGUUGGGUUAAGUCCCGCAACGAGCGCAACCC